rnacentral:rRNA from 1 species
AUGGGUUUACUUCACUCGCAUCAUCAACUGAUACAAGUCUUGGAUAAGAAUCUACAACGCACUAGAGAAGAACAUUCUGUAGUAUUAGUAGGAGGAGGAAGGGUUAACGAUUUACCGGGUGUGAGAUAUUGCAUUAUUCGAGGAACCCUAGAUGUUGUCGCAGUAAUGAAUCGUCAACAAGGCGCAGUAUUUACAGAAAAAGUCAUCGUUUGUUGGAAAAGAAUCAAUAUAAUUUUAAUGUCGAAUCGGGAAAUAUCGCUGCUAUGCCAAAACUCGGCGCAAAGAACCAACCAGAUUGCCCCAGUGGAUAAAUAA